CGCUAGGUAACCUAACUAAGGUUUUUACCUUUUGAGUGAAACAUGGCCCAGCCCCUAGCGC
rnacentral:tRNA from 1 species